GGGCAGGGAGACCAUGUCUCAAGAUCACCCUGUCUUAAGAGGGCACAGGAUGUGAACGCAAGGUGCACGGCCCACAGCCUGUGAGACCUCCUGCUUCAAACCUCCAGGAAGGGAAGAGAGCUCCGUGCCUGGCUUUCUUCAAGCCCAAACCAACCUCCCAUCUUGAGCAAUCAAACGCGAUCCAGUCGGGCUCCCAGGAACAAAUAAUUUAAGACUGAUCCCCGACCGAACAGGAUCUUCUACUUUUCCUUUAUGGGAACGAGUUGGCCGCGCUGAGAUUCUCUCGGUGUUCCCC